UCCGUGUUAACCACGGCAGUCUCGCCAGACACUUGUAACUGGCAAUAGGGGUUGCGCUCGUUAUCGGACUUAACCGUACAUUUCACAACACGAGCUGACGACAACCGUGCAGCACCUGUCACUGUUGUCCGAAGAGGGGCUCCAUUUCUGGUGCCUUUCAACAGGAUGUCAAACCUUGGUGAGGUGCUCCGCUUACCAUCGAAUUAAACCACAUGCUCCACCGCUUGUGGGGCCCCCGUCAAUUCCUUUGAGUUUUAAUCUUGCGACCGUACUCCCCAGGCGGGAUGCUUAAUGCGUUAGCUGCGCCACUGACAGGCAAGCCUGCCAACGGCUAGCAUCCAUCGUUUACGGCGUGGACUAC
rnacentral:misc_RNA from 1 species